CUUUAGCCUGCGCCAUGUGACCGGCGGCCGGGUCCCUUAGCGCUCUGUGCUUUGACCUACAUGGAGACAAGAGCACUGCUGUUUCUUGCCCUCGGCUGCUGCUGCUGCUGCUGCUAGGACAACACAGGCAGCCGUGCAGCCAGUCCUUUGGGUCCCGCUCCACCCCAUUGGCCAGGGGUCCGCUGGAAUGUUUAUCUGAUUGGCCGCUGAAAGCGGGGUCCCCACUCGCUACCACCUCCUCUAGGUAGGAAGACGUCACUUCCAGGGCGGCUUUCCCGCCCUUCCCCGUGGUCGUGACGCUGAGUAGCUCCUGGCGCUCCCGCUGGCGCCCCGCGUCGGGCAACAACUCCACGAAGUGGCCCGUCUCCUUGAGGCGUUGCUGGAUCAUGGGAGUAAGGGGCAUGUCGAAAGUGAAGCCCGAGUCCGCCUCGUCGUCAGCCGAGGAAGAUAGGGCAUCCAGAGAGUCCAGGCUGCUGUAAAGGGUGCUACGGAAACGGUCUGACUCCAGGAUGCUCUCGAACUGCGAGCUGAAGACGUCGGUGGCCUCCUGGCUCUCCGAUGUCUCCUUGCCAUCCCGGUUAUCCGACGGGUCCUCGCUGCCAUUGGUCUUCGUACUCCUGAGGGAGUCGGGGACAAACAGAGACAAUCAUGGAAACUUUGACUGGGGACAAAAGUCAAGUCUUAAUCUUAACUUAGCAGAAGAAGACUGAAAUUCAAACUAGCCUGUGGGAAACCUUAGCCAUUAUAUUUCACAGUACAUAUCCAUCUGGCAUUCCUCCUCAAUUAAAUGUUUUGAACCAUAGAGAUAGAUAGAGGACUCAUCUUUGUAUCUGCGCUAGUAUAGCAUCUCCAUUUUGAAGUAGUCAAUUUUUCUUCACUAUUGGCUGAUCCCUCCUGAUGACCCGGUUGAACAUGACUCCAAUAGGGUCACCAGGAGGGAUGAGUCAAUGAAGUUGGAAGUCCCAUCCAGUUUACUACAUUAAAAAUUGUGGAAGCCCUCAAGGGCACUGCCCAUGCUAACACGGCCUUUUGGCCACUAGUGGCCUCUAUCAUCCUCUAUGGUCUGAGUCUACCUUUAAUGAGAGGCAUUAUUCAAAACCACCUCAUCUGCAAUUGGAUCACCUUCAACCAACCAGAGGACGGCCUAAUUCAAAGCAGUGUUUGGCCACCUGUGAUUUUGUCCUAAAACCCACCCAUUGGUUCUGAAAGGAUGCGGAUUGGACCGGUCAUUUGCUAACUCGUUCCAAACGCCAAUCUAUUGGAGGAAGGCCUGACUGAUGUGAUAGUGAAGUGAAUCAAAAUGGAGAACGCUGUGAUCAGGCUGGUUCCACAAGGGUACUGAAACCUGGCCUGAAUUGCUUGGAUUAGGAUAUUGUUCCUCUACCAAGAAGAAAUAGAUUAGAUUCAGCAAUAUGACGCUACCAUAACAAGCGGGGCAACUUGCAACCCAAACAAGAAGAGUAAAAAACAAGAUGCUAAUCUCGUCAGCAUUUGUUGUCAAGCGGCUAUCAUGUUGCUCGAGGGAAGCGUGUAACUCCCCUGCACAUGCUCAAAAGUAUCUGUACGAGUUAACUAGUGCAGCAUCUUGCUUGGCACUCCCCAUGAUAACAUCUUUGGUCCCACUGCUGUUUAUGGUCACAUCAUACUGCUUACUUCCUGCUCCUCAAACAGAGCUAAAUACACUGUCCCUGUCGUAGAGGCCUAUAGCCGCUGUGGUGAACUCAGCUAAAUGCACUGUCCCUGUCGUAGAGGCCUAUAGCCGCUGUGGUGAACUCUCAGAGGAAGUUAUAAAGCACACGAUUCCAUUAUUAACCCAGAGACCUUGCACCUUUCUACCUCCUCUCAGCGAAACUCUAACAAAACAACACAUUUCUGUGGACUGUGACAAUGCUAGUUUCCAUGUAAUGGAAACAUCCAGCAACUAAAAGGAACUCAACAUUUUCUAAGGACAAAAAAGCUACGGACGUUAGAAAUAUUGAAACAUAGUGGGGGAUCAAGUGUAAAUAGUGCCAUAAAAUAAACAGUGAAU